rnacentral:rRNA from 1 species
UACGUAGGGUGCAAGCGUUGUCCGGAAUUAUUGGGCGUAAAGGGCUCGUAGGCGGUUUGUCGCGUCGGGAGUGAAAACACUGGGCUUAACUUUGAGCUUGCUUCCGAUACGGGCUGACUAGAGGGAUGCAGGGGAGAACGGAAUUCCUGGUGUAGCGGUGAAAUGCGCAGAUAUCAGGAGGAACACCGGUGGCGAAGGCGGUUCUCUGGGCAUUACCUGACGCUGAGGAGCGAAAGUGUGGGGAGCGAACAGG